GACGAGCGCUGGCGGCGUGCCUAAUACAUGCAAGUUGAGCGCUGAAGGUUGGUACUUGUACCAACUGGAUGAGCAGCGAACGGGUGAGUAACGCGUGGGGAAUCUGCCUUUGAGCGGGGGACAACAUUUGGAAACGAAUGCUAAUACCGCAUAAAAACUUUAAACACAAGUUUUAAGUUUGAAAGAUGCAAUUGCAUCGCUCAAAGAUGAUCCCGCGUUGUAUUAGCUAGUUGGUGAGGUAAAGGCUCACCAAGGCGAUGAUACAUAGCCGACCUGAGAGGGUGAUCGGCCACAUUGGGACUGAGACACGGCCCAAACUCCUACGGGAGGCAGCAGUAGGGAAUCUUCGGCAAUGGACGAAAGUCUGACCGAGCAACGCCGCGUGAGUGAAGAAGGUUUUCGGAUCGUAAAACUCUGUUGGUAGAGAAGAACGUUGGUGAGAGUGGAAAGCUCAUCAAGUGACGGUAACUACCCAGAAAGGGACGGCUAACUACGUG
rnacentral:rRNA from 1 species